GACGAACGCUGGCGGCGUGCUUAACACAUGCAAGUCGAGCGGAAAGGCCACUUCGGUGGUACUCGAGCGGCGAACGGGUGAGUAACACGUGAGCAAUCUGCCCCUGGCUUCGGGAUAGCCACCGGAAACGGUGAUUAAUACCGGAUACGACCACUUCUCGCAUGGGAUGGUGGUGGAAAGUUUUUUCGGCCAGGGAUGUGCUCGCGGCCUAUCAGCUUGAUGGUGGGGUAAUGGCUCACCAUGGCUUCGCCGGGGAGCCGGCCUGGGAGGGUGACCGGGCACACUGGGACUGGGACACGGCCCAGACUCCUACGGGAGGGAGCAGUGGGGAAUAUUGGACAAUGGGCGGAAGCCUGAUCCAGCAACGCCGCGUGAGGGAUGACGGCCUUCGGGUUGUAAACCUCUUUCAGCAGGGACGAAGCGCAAGUGACGGUACCUGCAGAAGAAGCACCGGCCAACUACGUGCCAGCAGCCGCCGUAA
rnacentral:rRNA from 1 species